AGCAGCAGGAAACUACAACGUGCAAGAUCCUUGCAGGAAAUGAUGUGUCCGAGCGUGCUCUGAAGUAUAUUUUCAGCAUCAGCCACAGGGUAGGAAGCUCCAGGACGGUAAGCAGGAAGAACAGAGGAGUUUAGCAGUGGACAAUUGUUGCUUGCUUACAAUGUGCUAAGGAUCUGUGAAGAAGUGAAACUUCUAGCACUGAUGACAGUUGAUGUAAGAGCUGACACAUCUGAUGAAAUUUCUUUGUUGCCAAAUUUUGUUCGAUAGCUGGGAAAGUCCGCCGGAAGCAGCUUUCCUUCAUAGGAACAACCAAUGACCACUCUGGCAACAGAUGCUUGAUGAACGGAAGAAUGAAAAGAAGAAUACCUGUGGCUAUAUUCCUUAUCCCUGAGCACUGUAAAGGAAUAGUUACCACUGACCAUCUAUGAUAGCCAUUUAAGUUUAUUCAGCUUUUCGGAUGUGGAAUAUGCCACCACCGCCCCCUGGGCACUGGCAACUUUUUUUUCCACAUAUGAGAAAGAAGAUAGACUAUGAAUAGUGCACUUUAUGAAGGGGAGAGAAGCUUUUUGAGAUAAUUGGAGAAAACCAUUUUUUAAGAUGUUGCUUUGGUGUGAAAAGCUGUAUAUUUCUGCCAUGUAAUUUUGAAUGUCAUUUCUAGCUGUAAUUCAGGACCAUUUACACAAUGUUCAGGGUGGAUUCUGGGUUCUGAGUUCCUAUUGUCAUUCAGUAGGUGCACAAAAUACAUCUUAACUAUUGCUAGCAGGAUUGGUUUGAAAUGUGGCUCAGAAUGGUCCUAAUGUAUGUGGAUAGCUGCUUUCCGUUUCAGAGGUGGCCAGUCCUGUCUGCUUCUAAUGAGUGAAAGAUAAGACAAAAAUAGAUGUAAUGAUGCAAACAUCUUUCCCCACUGCCUUUGCCUAUUUUGUAGGAGAACAGUACAAUAAUGUUCCUGUGUUUAUGGCUGGGUAGAUAUAAUAGUUAUGUUGAAAUAGUAUCUGAAAGAACUUCCUUCCAUGCAUUUGAUCUGAUUAGGUACAUAUAGAGGUCUUUCACAUGUCCUUGGCUGGGAAGGUGGGCGGGCAGGCUGGGGGGAAGGCAGGAUCUCACCUGCCUUCCCCCACAGAUGAGCAGUGGCCGUCUGUGCUCCUGCCAUGCUGCGCACACACACACUCCCGGCGAAGGCUACAGCCAGGAGCAGGAGGAUUUCCCCCCUCCCGCAACCCAGAGUGCACUGCUUGGCACAGCCACUCCUCCCCCCUGGCUCGCUGCCAGAAAUGGUGAUGGGCCGAGGGGUGGGGAAGCCUUUUAACCCAGCAGCUAUCACCCCAACGAUCGCCCGCCGAGAUUAAGCGAGCCACAGCUUCACUUCACCUCAUUUUAACACCGGGAUUAAAAGUCGGGUUAGGCGGACGGGCAGUGCGGGGAUUGGGCUCGAUCUCGGUGCUGCACACGAGCAGCCUAGCCCAGGAUGGGCUGCCCUAGGCUGUCCGUGAGAACAGCCUCUUGGAAUGGAACACAAGCUAAUUGUAUUUAGUGCUGUCACUCUUUCCACUCUGGUUUAUGUUUAUUUUUUGAAAUGAAUGGAAUUUGUUUGGGUAUAGUAUAUUAGUGAUACUGGAUGACAUGAUGAGGGAAAUUACUUAAAGUAGUCCCAUUGAAAUUAAAAGGACAAGCUGGGCAAUACCUAAGCUGCCCUCUUAAUUUCAAAGGGACUAUUUUGAGCUGUGAUCUACACUAUUUUUAAAGCAGGAGCUUCUCUGGAGAAAAAAAAUCCCUUCUAUGUGAGAGCCUUUUUCUUUGUGCUGACCUAUGCACAGUACUGUGCUUUUCUUAUUGCUGGGAUGGAGCCCUCUCUUAAGAGUUGUAGGAGAAGAGCACUGGGAAGAACUACGCUUCCCAGCACUCUGUGCUGGCCUUCCAAUAUGGUGUAGGGGCUCCAGAGGGCUCGGUUUAUCUUAAAGGACCUCCCUGUGCUGGGCAAAGCACAGCUCUGCACAGUGGGAAGAAUCACCUCCACAUGGUGCUAGGGUGA